CUUGUACUCCCUCCAUCCGGAAUUACUUGUCGCAUAAAUGGAUGAAAAUGGAUGUAUCUAGAAUUAAAAUACAUUUAGAUACAUUCAUCUCAUAGACAAGUAUUUUCGGACAGAGGGAGUAGGAG
rfam:Triticum aestivum genome assembly, contig: Triticum_aestivum_CS42_TGACv1_scaffold_288431_4AL